rnacentral:lncRNA from 1 species
CCAGAUUCUCGCAGUGCUCUGUGGUGGUGCAUGUAAUAUCCUGGACAUAAUCUGUCUUUUAAUUUUCUUUGGAUUGUAGUGAUAUUACAGAUACAUGUGUUCAGUUAUAGAUCUUUAUUUAAUAAGAAGAAUGCUUUAGCUGAAGAUUUGUACUAUGUCAGAAGUGGGCAACUCACAAUAAUGUUACUGGAGGUUUAGCCCAGGAAUUCUUUUGGGAUGAUGAGAGGGGCUCAUCCAAAAUGUUACAAGCAUGCCUGGACACUGAUUCAGACCUUUUGAAGAUUUCAGAAGAAAAUGACAUGUGUCCUCAAUAGAAACUUCACUGAGACACUGCUUUGUGGCCAGCCUUCAACUACAUUUUACUGCUGAACUCAGCCCCACAAGAUAAGAUUCUCCCUGCAAGUUCAGGCUCAAGUUAAUUUCUGCCAGACUACCAAGACUUUCCUGUCGAUUCCAUCCUUGCUUUCCAAGGAAAAGAGCAAUAUUCAGAGUGAUGUCUCAGUCAUGUACUGCUUAAGCAAAGAAUGAGAUUAGCUACUUGUGGUG